GUCACGAUAGCUCAAGUGGUAGAGCAGCGGCGUCUCUAGCCGAAGGUCGUGGGUUCGAAUCCCGCUCGUGACA
rnacentral:tRNA from 1 species